GAUGCCCACUUGUGGGUGGAUUAGUGGCGAACGGGUGAGUAACACGUGAGUAACCUGCCCUUAACUCUGGGAUAAGCCUGGGAAACUGGGUCUAAUACCGGAUAUGACUCCUCAUCGCAUGGUGGGGGGUGGAAAGCUUUUUGUGGUUUUGGAUGGACUCGCGGCCUAUCAGCUUGUUGGUGAGGUAAUGGCUCACCAAGGCGACGACGGGUAGCCGGCCUGAGAGGGUGACCGGCCACACUGGGACUGAGACACGGCCCAGACUCCUACGGGAGGCAGCAGUGGGGAAUAUUGCACAAUGGGCGAAAGCCUGAUGCAGCGACGCCGCGUGAGGGAUGACGGCCUUCGGGUUGUAAACCUCUUUCAGUAGGGAAGAAGCGAAAGUGACGGUACCUGCAGAAGAAGCGCCGGCUAACUACGUGCCAGCAGCCGCGGUAAUACGUAGGGCGCAAGCGUUAUCCGGAAUUAUUGGGCGUAAAGAGCUCGUAGGCGGUUUGUCGCGUCUGCUGUGAAAGACCGGGGCUCAACUCCGGUUCUGCAGUGGGUACGGGCAGACUAGAGUGAUGUAGGGGAGACUGGAAUUCCUGGUGUAGCGGUGAAAUGCGCAGAUAUCAGGAGGAACACCGAUGGCGAAGGCAGGUCUCUGGGCAUUAACUGACGCUGAGGAGCGAAAGCAUGGGGAGCGAACAGGAUUAGAUACCCUGGUAGUCCAUGCCGUAAACGUUGGGCACUAGGUGUGGGGGACAUUCCACGUUUUCCGCGCCGUAGCUAACGCAUUAAGUGCCCCGCCUGGGGAGUAC
rnacentral:rRNA from 1 species